AGCAAUCCUGGUGGCGAGUGGCGAACGGGUGAGUAAUAUAUCGGAACGUGCCCAGUCGUGGGGGAUAACGUAGCGAAAGCUACGCUAAUACCGCAUACGAUCAUGGAUGAAAGCGGGGGAUCGCAAGACCUCGCGCGAUUGGAGCGGCCGAUAUCAGAUUAGGUAGUUGGUGAGGUAAAGGCUCACCAAGCCGACGAUCUGUAGCUGGUCUGAGAGGACGACCAGCCACACUGGGACUGAGACACGGCCCAGACUCCUACGGGAGGCAGCAGUGGGGAAUUUUGGACAAUGGGCGCAAGCCUGAUCCAGCAAUGCCGCGUGCAGGAUGAAGGCCUUCGGGUUGUAAACUGCUUUUGUACGGAACGAAACGGUGAGCUCUAAUACAGUUUGCUAAUGACGGUACCGUAAGAAUAAGCACCGGCUAACUACGUG
rnacentral:rRNA from 1 species